UUUGACCAUGGCCUUGUCUAAAUGUGAUCAGAGUUGGUGAACUCAGGGGGCUUCCAUAGCCUUGGCAGCUCAUGACAAGAGCCUAGGGUGAUUACUGAUGCCAUAAACAAGAGUGUCAAUUUGUUAAGUCAACAACAGGAGUCACUGUGCACUUACUCCUCAUGUAGGAUCUCUGUCCUUAGUGUGCUGUACAUUGAGAUUUAAUGCUAUAACUAAUACUCAAACAGUAUUUUUCACUUUGUGUUUCUGUGUGGGAGCAAACUGUUGAACUCUUUACUUAAUGUAUGCUAAACUGAUCUUCUGUAUAUAAAGAGAAUCGAAAAUGAAUCUUGAUGUGAAUGGAAGGGGAGAGGGAGUGGGAAAGGGGAGGGUUGCGGGUGGGAGGGACGUUAUCGGGGGGAAGCCAUUGUAACCCAUAAGCUGUACUUUGGAAAUUUAUAUUCAUUAAAUAAUAGUUAAAAAAAAAUAAAAGAAGUGAAGCAGCAGGAAAGUGGACCAGUGCCCACAUGGGAUGCUGGCACUGCAGACAGUGACUUUACCCACUAUGUCUCUUAUGUGGACACUUGCCAUUGGAUUUACAGCACAUGUGCAAAAUACAGAAUGAAGCUUAUCUCAAAAAUUUAACUUCUUUACAUCUGUAAAGACUUUAAAAAUAAAAAAAGGAAGACCUUUCUCUCUGUCUCUCUCUCUCACUGUCCACUCUGCCUGUCAAUAAAAAAAAAAAAAAAUGAAGAGGAACAAAAAUAAGUGUCAGCUUAUUUCACAGAUACUGCAGCUGGUGUUCAAAGCAACUGUUUCUGUCAUUCUUGUAAUCUGGCUUUCCAUACUAUAAUUAAAUUGAUGGAUUAUUUCAGAGAGAGAGAGAGAAAUCAGUUUUCACCCACUGGGUCAUUCCCCAAAUGCUAGCAACUCGAUAUGAGACUCCCUGAGGGUAACAGGACCCGACUGAGGUGUCCUCACCUGAUACCUCUCUGGGUUGUGCAUUAGCAGGAAACGAAUAAGGAGCAGAGACGAGACUCCAACCCGGCACUCCGACAGGAUGCGGACAUCUGAACUGACAUCUGAACUGCUUAAACAAAUGCUCGCUGUUUCUAAGUAUUAAUGAACACCAAUAUUUUUGCUAUAGCAUAUAGUCAUCACUUUUUAAAAUUUGAAACAUUCAUAUCUUGAAAUGGAGAUCAAAGCAUCUAUUUCUCAGCUUAGGUAAGAACACAGGACACUUUGCCCUCUCUGAGUCUGGACUGGUUCACACCCCCACAAACCUCAAAAAGCAAACUCGUCACUUUGUGUACCAUUAUUUGAGAAUGAUUG
rnacentral:lncRNA from 1 species